UGCUGAAGUGAAAAAUGUAAUAUUGAAGUUCCAUUUUGCAAGCGGAAAAAUGAUUUUGUCAACAUUUGCAUAAAAUCUGCACAUUUAUAUACUGCAUGUUAUUUUAAAAUUCCAUGACUAAAUUAUGAAUUUUGCAAAUUUAAGCUUACAUCUAUACCGUUGCUGGUGUAUAUGCGGUAGAUACGGAAUGAAUAUUUUCAGUUUAAUAGUUAACAUCCUCAAACAAUGGACGACAGAUGUGAAAAUUAUAAGGACAUUUUGAUAGCUCAAACUUAUUCAAAUUAUAAGUAUCUGGUCCUAUUAUUACAUUUUCUCUCCUCUGUCACAAAAUAGGAUGGUUCUGUUGCAGUGCUAGGAAUACUGGAAUGGGUUAUUUUAAGUUGUUUCACUUGUAACCCCAAGCUAGCCAAUUUUAUUUUAGCUCAUUAAUAAAAAUAUCUUUGAAAAUGAAAAUCCAGGUCCCUAGCAAGGAUCUGGGCAGUGAUCUUACACAUUGCACACAUCACUGGUACUCAGAAUUUUAGCUGCAGUGCACAGUGUAAUGUGUAGCUGAGACGUGACUCUAAAUCCCCUUUACUCAUCUAAGUUUCUUUCUGGCUGUAAAACAUUUUACAUGCAACUAGUUUUAUUUUUACUAUUCUGGAUAUUCUGAUUAUGACAACUCUAGUGGUUCUGCAUUAAAUAAGCCUCUCUACCUUCACUCUUUUGUUUGUAUUCACAGUCCCUGGAGUUCUUAUAUAAAACAACAAUGUGGCAACAAUAACUACAAAAACAAGAACAACAACAACAAUAAAACAUCAACAACUUUCCUGGAUUACGUAUUUUUUAGCUCUUUGGAAUAGGCAAAAAAUAUAAAGACUUUGUCUUCAGCAGAUCACCUCAAAUAUAGGCUACUAGAACACAGCACACUUAGGUAAGCUGUGAAUGACAUCUAACAAAAUAUGUAAAAAUAAUACUGAUAGGUGAGAACAAAUUAAAUAACAAAAGGGAUCAGUAAUGAUGGAAUAGUUUCUGAUAACUGAAAUAAUGUCCUUUCUAGAUUUAAGAAAAAUUACAUCUAAGUAUUAACACAAAAUAUAUACACAUGGAAGAAUCAAAUGUGCCAUGUGGACUAUAUAAAUAUAUUGGUACAGAUUGAAUCUAACACUUUUCCAAAUCAAUGUACAAUAUAAACAUUAAUAAUAGUACAGGCAUGCCAAAAAGACAAAAAUAGAAACUGAUAAUGAAAAUAUU
ensembl:lncRNA